GGAUUGUGGCUCAGCAGUAGAGUGCUUGAUUAGCACGUGUGAGGCCCUGGGUUCGAUUCUCAGCACCA
rnacentral:tRNA from 1 species